rnacentral:rRNA from 1 species
GACGAACGCUGGCGGCGUGCUUAACACAUGCAAGUCGAACGGAAAGGCCUCAGCUUGCUGGGGUACUCGAGUGGCGAACGGGUGAGUAACUCGUGGGUGAUCUGCCUUGCACUCUGGGAUAAGCUUGGGAAACUGGGUCUAAUACCGGAUAUGAACUGCCUUUAGUGUGGUGGUUGGAAAGUUUUUUCGGUGCAAGAUGAGCUCGCGGCCUAUCAGCUUGUUGGUGGGGUAAUGGCCUACCAAGGCGUCGACGGGUAGCCGGCCUGAGAGGGUGUACGGCCACAUUGGGACUGAGAUACGGCCCAGACUCCUACGGGAGGCAGCAGUGGGGAAUAUUGCACAAUGGGCGGAAGCCUGAUGCAGCGACGCCGCGUGGGGGAUGACGGCCUUCGGGUUGUAAACUCCUUUCGACAGGGACGAAGCUUUUUGUGACGGUACCUGUAUAAGAAGCACCGGCUAACUACGUG